rnacentral:rRNA from 1 species
UACAGAGGGGGCAAGCGUUGUUCGGAAUUACUGGGCGUAAAGGGCGCGUAGGCGGCCUCUUAAGUCGGACGUGAAAUCCCCGGGCUCAACCCGGGAACUGCGUCCGAUACUGGGAGGCUUGAAUCCGGGAGAGGGAUGUGGAAUUCCAGGUGUAGCGGUGAAAUGCGUAGAUAUCGGGAGGAACACCGGUGGCGAAGGCGGCAUCCUGGACCGGUAUUGACGCUGAGGCGCGAAAGCUAGGGGAGCAAACGGG